UGGGGAAUAUUGGACAAUGGGCGCAAGCCUGAUCCAGCCAUGCCGCGUGAGUGACGAAGGCCUUAGGGUUGUAAAGCUCUUUCGGCGGGGAAGAUAAUGACGGUACCCGCAGAAGAAGCCCCGGCUAACUCUGUGCCAGCAGCCGCGGUAAUACAGAGGGGGCAAGCGUUGUUCGGAAUCACUGGGCGUAAAGCGCACGUAGGUGGAUAGUUAAGUUCGGGGUGAAAUCCCAGGGCUCAACCCUGGAACUGCCUCGGAUACUGGCUAUCUCGAGUCCGGAAGAGGUGAGUGGAAUUCCUAGUGUAGAGGUGAAAUUCGUAGAUAUUAGGAAGAACACCGGUGGCGAAGGCGGCUCACUGGUCCGGUACUGACACUGAGGUGCGAAAGCGUGGGGAGCAAACAGGAUUAGAUACCCGAGUAGUCCCUGAGCGGGCUGGCAAGGCGCAU
rnacentral:rRNA from 1 species